AUUGAACGCUGGCGGCAUGCCUUACACAUGCAAGUCGAACGGCAGCACGGGUGCUUGCACCUGGUGGCGAGUGGCGAACGGGUGAGUAAUACAUCGGAACGUACCUUAUCGUGGGGGAUAACGCAGCGAAAGCUGUGCUAAUACCGCAUACGCCCUGAGGGGGAAAGCGGGGGAGCGCAAGACCUCGCGCGAUUAGAGCGGCCGAUGCCUGAUUAGCUUGUUGGUGGGGUAAAAGCCCACCAAGGCGACGAUCAGUAGCUGGUCUGAGGGGACGACCAGCCACACUGGGACUGAGACACGGCCCAGACUCGUACGGGAGGCAGCAGUGGGGAAUUUUGGACAAUGGGGGCAACCCUGAUCCAGCAAUGCCGCGUGAGUGAAGAAGGCCUUCGGGUUGUAAAGCUCUUUUGUCAGGGAAGAAACACCGGCUCUAACACAGUCCGGGAAUGACGGUACCUGAAGAAUAAGCACCGGCUAACUACGUGCCAGAAGCCGCCGUAA
rnacentral:rRNA from 1 species